AUUGUCUGCUUAAUUGAAAACGUUACGAACGAAGACCUUAACCUGCUAAAUAGUCACGCCAACUUUGUUGGUAGCCAACUUCUUAGAGGGACUGUCGGCAUCAAGCCGACGGAAGUUUGAGACAAUAACAGGUCUGUUAUGCCCUUAGAUGUCCUGGGCCGCACGCGCGCUACACUGAUGAAGUCAACGAGUUUAUAACCUUGGCCGGAAGGUCCGGGUAAUCUUUUGAAACUUCAUCGUGCUGGGGAUAGGGCAUUGCAAUG
rnacentral:rRNA from 1 species